rnacentral:rRNA from 1 species
UACGUAGGGACCGAGCGUUGUCCGGAAUCAUUGGGCGUAAAGAGCGUGUAGGCGGCUUGUUAAGUCUUGCGUGAAAUCUCGGGGCUCAACCCCGAGCGGUCGUGAGAAACUGGCAGGCUAGAGUGCGGGAGAGGAGAGUGGAAUUCCUGGUGUAGCGGUGAAAUGCGCAGAUAUCAGGAAGAACACCUGUGGCGAAGGCGGCUCUCUGGAACGCAACUGACGCUGAGACGCGAAAGCGUGGGGAGCAAACAGG